rnacentral:rRNA from 1 species
AGUGAACGCCGGCGGUAGGCCUAACACAUGCAAGUCGAACGGCAGCACAGUAAGAGCUUGCUCUUACGGGUGGCGAGUGGCGGACGGGUGAGGAAUACAUCGGAAUCUACUUUUUCGUGGGGGAUAACGUAGGGAAACUUACGCUAAUACCGCAUACGACCUACGGGUGAAAGCAGGGGAUCUUCGGACCUUGCGCGAUUGAAUGAGCCGAUGUCGGAUUAGCUAGUUGGCGGGGUAAAGGCCCACCAAGGCGACGAUCCGUAGCUGGUCUGAGAGGAUGAUCAGCCACACUGGAACUGAGCCACGGUCCAGACUCCUACGGGAGGCAGCAGUGGGGAAUAUUGGACAAUGGGCGCAAGCCUGAUCCAGCCGUACCGCGUGGGUGAAGAAGGCCUUCGGGUUGUAAAGCCCUUUUGUUGGGAAAGAAAAGCAGCAGGUUAAUACCCCGCUGUUCUGACGGUACCCAAAGAAUAAGCACCGGCUAACUUCGUG